UAAACAAUAUGCUGCAAUACCAUCCUGGAGCUGCUGCAAUGGUUUUAAAUGUGUAAAAGUUAAACAAGAGAUGUCAAAUCACAUGGGAAGUGUAGCUCAAAGUCUACGCAACAUCACCGAUGUUGAAGGGAAGCAUACCACUCUCAAGGACCAGGAGGAAAUGAAAAUGCAUGCAUAUAUAUAUACACACGCUGAGGAAAACAAGAGCAGAGCAAAGCAAAGAACAUGGUCAUAAAAAACCUGUCCAUCAGUCAUGGAAGGCAGGUGAGAGGGAAGAGAACAUCCCAACCCCCUGCUAAAGUUCUUCAGGCCCCGACUUGGCCCACCUUGAGAACCCACAGAUCAAAGGUCGAGGGGUCGGAUAAACAGCCCUAGCAGCAGGAGUCAUGGGUUAGGC